rnacentral:hammerhead_ribozyme from 1 species
GCACUGCUGACGAGUCCCAAAUUGGACGAAACAGCUGUCUAGUGC